GCACGGAUGGCCGAGUGGUCUAAGGCGCCAGACUCAAGCGAUAGCUUUCCCGAAGAGUGCGGGGUUGGGCGUUCUGGUACUCGUACGGGUGCGUGGGUUCGAAUCCCACUUCGUGCA
rfam:Heterorhabditis bacteriophora unplaced genomic scaffold Scaffold1343, whole genome shotgun sequence.